AGCAGCCGCGGUAAUUCCAGCUCCAAUAGCGUAUAUUAAAGUUGUUGCAGUUAAAAAGCUCGUAGUUGAAUUUCGGGGUCAGUAGAUUCGGUCGUGCCACUGGUAUGCACUGGUCUUACUGGCUCCUCCUUCCUGAUGAACCGUAAUGCCAUUAAUUUGGUGUUGCGGGGAGACUGGACUGUUACUUUGAAAAAUUAGAGUGUUUAAAGCAGGCUAACGCUUGAAUACAUUAGCAUGGAAUAAUGAAAUAGGACGUUCGAUCUUAUUUUGUUGGUUUCUAAGAUUGACGUAAUGAUUAAUAGGGAUAGUUGGGGGCAUUAGUAUUCAAUUGUCAGAGGUGAAAUUCUUGGAUUUAUUGAAGACUAACUACUGCGAAAAGCAUUUGCCAAGGAUGUUUUCAUUAAUCAAGAACGAA
rnacentral:rRNA from 1 species